rnacentral:piRNA from 1 species
UGGUAUGGAAACCUAGGCCCGCGAGUGCCCUU